UACGUAGGGUGCAAGCGUUAAUCGGAAUUACUGGGCGUAAAGGGUGCGCAGGCGGUUCAUUAAGUCAGAUGUGAAAUCCCCGGGCUCAACCUGGGAAUGGCAUUUGAGACUGGAGAGCUAGAGUGUGUCAGAGGGGGGUAGAAUUCCACGUGUAGCAGUGAAAUGCGUAGAGAUGUGGAGGAAUACCGAUGGCGAAGGCAGCCCCCUGGGAUAACACUGACGCUCAGGCACGAAAGCGUGGGGAGCAAACAGG
rnacentral:rRNA from 1 species